rnacentral:rRNA from 1 species
CCUACGGGAGGCAGCAGUGGGGAAUAUUGGGCAAUGGGCGCAAGCCUGACCCAGCAACGCAGCGUGAAGGAAGAAGGCUUUCGGGUUGUAAACUUCUUUUCUCAGGGACGAAGAAAGUGACGGUACCUGAGGAAUAAGCCACGGCUAACUACGUGCCAGCAGCCGCGGUAAUACGUAGGUGGCAAGCGUUAUCCGGAUUUACUGGGUGUAAAGGGCGUGUAGGCGGGACUGCAAGUCAGAUGUGAAAACCACGGGCUCAACCUGUGGCUUGCAUUUGAAACUGGAGUUCUUGAGUACUGGGGAGGCAGACGGAAUUCCUAGUGUAGCGGUGAAAUGCGUAGAUAUUAGGAGGAAUACCAGUGGCGAAGGCGGUCUGCUGGACAGCAACUGACGCUGAGGCGCGAAAGCGUGGGGAGCAAACAGGAUUAGAUACCCCAGUAGUC